rnacentral:rRNA from 1 species
UGGGGAAUAUUGGACAAUGGGCGCAAGCCUGAUCCAGCCAUGCCGCGUGAGCGAUGAAGGCCCUAGGGUUGUAAAGCUCUUUCACCGGUGAAGAUAAUGACGGUAACCGGAGAAGAAGCCCCGGCUAACUUCGUGCCAGCAGCCGCGGUAAUACGAAGGGGGCUAGCGUUGUUCGGAUUUACUGGGCGUAAAGCGCACGUAGGCGGACUAUUAAGUCAGGGGUGAAAUCCCGGGGCUCAACCCCGGAACUGCCUUUGAUACUGGUAGUCUUGAGUUCGAGAGAGGUGAGUGGAAUUCCGAGUGUAGAGGUGAAAUUCGUAGAUAUUCGGAGGAACACCAGUGGCGAAGGCGGCUCACUGGCUCGAUACUGACGCUGAGGUGCGAAAGCGUGGGGAGCAAACAGG